UACGGGGGGUGCAAGCGUUAUCCGGAAUCACUGGGUUUAAAGGGUGCGUAGGCGGGACAUUAAGUCAGUGGUGAAAGUCUGUUGCUUAACAAUAGAAUUGCCGUUGAUACUGGUGUUCUUGAAUUGGGUUGAGGUUAGCGGAAUGUGACAUGUAGCGGUGAAAUGCAUAGAUAUGUCAUGGAACACCAAUUGCGAAGGCAGCUAGCUGGGCCUUGAUUGACGCUGAGGCACGAAAGCGUGGGGAGCAAACAGGAUUAGAUACCCUGGUAGUCCACGCCCUAAUCGAUGCUAACUCGAUGUUUGCCUGUAAUGGGUGAGCAUCCAAGGGAAACCGAUAAGUUAGCCACCUGGGGAGUACGACCGCAAGGUUGAA
rnacentral:rRNA from 1 species